rnacentral:misc_RNA from 1 species
AGCGCUGAGCACUGCCCUGUUCAAUCAGGGACUGAGCUGCGGAGCCUGCUUCGAGAUCAAGUGUGCGGAGGACCCACAGUGGUGCCAUCCGGGGAGUCCGUCCAUCUUCGUCACCGCCACCAACUUCUGUCCUCCUAACUUUGCUGAGCCCUCGGAUAACGGUGGCUGGUGCAACCCGCCCCGCACACACUUUGAUCUCGCCAUGCCGAUGUUUCUCAAAAUCGCCCAGUACCGCGCCGGCAUCGUCCCGGUCAAUUUCCGCAGAGUGCCGUGCCGGAAGUCUGGUGGGAUCAGGUUCACCAUCAACGGGUUCCGCUACUUCAACCUGGUGCUGGUCUCCAACGUCGCUGGUGCUGGAGACAUUGUUAGAGUUAGCAUCAAGGGAACGCGCACAGGCUGGAUGCCGAUGUCACGGAACUGGGGCCAGAACUGGCAGUCAAACGCUGUGCUGGUCGGGCAGGCGCUGUCGUUCCGUGUCACCGGCGGCGACCACCGCACUUCGACUUCAUGGAAUGUUGCUCCGGCUGGGUGGCAGUUCGGGCAGACCUUUUCCGGCAAGAACUUUAGGGUCUGAUGGUUUUGGUGGAUUUGUUUUUGUUGUGGUUAUGGUGUUAGUAAGGAAAGAAUUAGGGUUAGGUAGUGUGUGAAGUGUGUAAGAGUUUGGGUAUUGAGAUGGGUGAAAUUAGUAGUGGGUGGUGGCUUUUUAUCAUCACUCUGUAGCUGAAGUGGCCGCAUAACCAAAAAGGGAGGGUGUGGCCCGCAGCAACUACAGGUUAUAUGUAUCAGACUUUGAUACAUUAGUUGUUGGGUUGAUGUUGUGUUAUGUGGUUUUGUG